rnacentral:lncRNA from 1 species
CUUAAAAUCUUUCUUAGUGAAAGCAUUUCCUCACAAUCAUUUUCAUGAAGGAGGAAAUCUUAUGACACUUAGAUUUAAACGGUGUAUGUGUUCCUAUCCAUGUGAAUUUGUUAAAACCAAAGUUUACGACAAAUUCAAACUCAUAUGGACCGAACUUUCUUAAUCUUGAUUUCUUGCCUUAUGGUAGCACAGCUGCCCACCAUGUCUUCCAAGUAGUUAAGCAGCUCACCCUUUCCUAUCAAUGUACCUUUCAUUGAUUAAGGUGCUUUGCCUUUUAUGCGUUCAAAAUGAGAACUCAUAGAACUCACAUGCAUAAUUAACUCGAUUGGAUUGGCACAGAAACAAAAUAAUGUCAACACGAUAGGUUGUAAACCUCAACUCGUGUGCUAGUGAUGAUCGAUAAGGUUUAUUUGAUUUGUUCUUGAAACCUUUCAAGACCAUUAAGACUCCCACUGACUCCUUGACAUAUAAGAUUCUCUUGUCAAUAAACAUUUCUUGACAAACAAAUAUUCAAGAGUUAGUGUAGCUUUUAUCAAAACACUUCAUAAAUUGGUCCUAGUUGGUCUUUGUCUUAUCCAAGACAUCACAACUUUCCACAUUUGAUGAAUGUUAUAAACCUUCUUAAUACUUAUCACUCAAUGUCACAAUCUUAACUCUAAGACUUGUUUUGGAACGAAGUAUGAUUGACUUCUUGAUUUAACCAUUUCUUCAAUUCUUGAUUCCUCUUCUUAGACAUACAAUUGUACUAAGACUCACUUAGAGGAUCAAUUGAGAUAUGGUUCUUAAUCAUUAAGACCUAUCAUAAAGCAUAAAAGGUACUCUCCCUUCUUCUUAGAAUGGAGAAACUUUUAUCUUUCUGCCUACUUGAUUCUUCUUAUUCGUUCUGCUAUUGAUUUAAACUUUUUCAAUCAAUUCAGAAUUACACUUAAUCUUAUAAGUAUAAUCAUAUUUACUAAACCUUUAGUAAAUCAUGACGAAUAUCUUUGUUACUCUUAUGGUGGACUUGAUCAACACGCAACUUUGUGUACUCGAUCUCCUAGUCCUUCACUUGACACUUUGUCAAUGAAUUAGUCUAAUUUCCAAAUAUGAAAUUUCUCAUUCAUCGUGCAACCAAGUUGCAUGAUUCCAAGUUUCUGUCCAAUUGAAACUUGGGCGAUGAGAAACUCUCCCUAUUUGGUAAAUUCUCGACUUUCCAUAAAUAACAUAAUAAGAACCAAAUCCAUUAUUGCUAAUAAUAGAAACAUUCAAACAUCAAUUUUUCAUAUACGCCAUUGCAAGGAUAAAUAAAUAAUAUAAAAUCAAAAUUUAUUUUAUUGCGGAAAAAAUUUGUCCUUACAAUGCAAUUCAUUGAAAAACUAUGCUAAUACAUCUUUCUUAGCAAUCUAAUUCUAACUCUAAGUAGUAGCUCAAGAAUCUAAUCUUCGAGAAAUGCGAUCGAAAUCCAUUCCUUCACGGUUAGAUUCUGCUCACUUCUUCCCUUAAGCUUCCUUUCUUUUCUUCGAUCCUACAAAACAUCAAUUGUAAUCUUAUCACAUUAUGUAUUAAGAAUCUAGAAUAGAAGCUUAAAAGAGUUAGUUAAUGGAUUUUACCUAUAUUAGAGCCAUACGUUUCGACUCUCCCAUCUCUUAGAUCUCUUAGGUAAAUGGGGCAGCUUCGUCUCCAAUGCCCUUUCUCUUGGCAAUAAAAGCAAAUUGACUCUUUUGGAACAUGACAUGGAACUACUUCAGACAUUGCCUUUCUCUUAUGAUCAAACUUUUCGAUCAUAGCAUGUCUUUCGUUGCCAUUGUCUAUAUCCAUAGAGGUCUUGAAGGCAGAUUCACCAAUCAACUUUGCUUUUCUAUUGCGCCAAACCAUUGCUGAUUCAGCAGCAAUAAGCAUAUAGGUGAGAUCUAUAAGGGUCACGUCGCGGUUCAUCAUAUAGUACUCUCUUACGAACUCACUAUAUGAGUUAGGAAGUGACUGAAGAACCCAAUCAACAGCCAUUUCCUCACAGACAACGGAUCCCAACAUUCUUAACCUAUCAAUGUGUGACUUCAUCCCUAGGACGUGUGCACACACCGACUUUCCUUCUUUAUGUUUACUUGCCAAAAGGGCUUGAGUGAUCUUGAACUUUUCAAGCCUUUGAACUUGUGGGUUAGGGAGAAUAAUUGGAGGAGGAGGAGGAAGUGAAGCAUGAUUUCUUGUUCCUCGAUCGAAUCGUGGAAUAUCAUCUUCAUGUGGAAUGCUUGUUCCACGGGAUUUGGGAAGACCAUAGUUGUCGAACUUUGACAUCUACAAAACGGGAGAAAACGAAUUCAAGUUAGUUGAUUGAUUGAGUCCUUAGUAAAUCACCCAAAUGAGAUACUAAGGCUAGGACCCAACACAAUAUUCUACAACUCGGGAGAGGGAUGCCGUAACCCUAAUUGCAGAAUAUUUGAAGGUAAGUGAAUGACGAUUCACUAAUUUCCACCACGAAAAACGAAAAAGAAUUUAAGUUUUAAAUCUAUGAAAACUCCUAGAUCCUUUGAGAUUCAUUGAACUUUCAAUGGCAUGUUUAAAUCUCGAUAUGCCCCUCUUGUUUGUGACUGGGAUGCCGAGGAUCACAAAGCGGGUGUGAAUAACCAUGCAAACUUACAUGGUGCCCUCACAUGUUACAGUCAUCUAUUCGAUGUGCCGGUAAACCACACACGCUCCACCGAACUAUGACAAACAUUGAGUCACCCUUUGCUACCUUCACUUAGAACCAUUUAGUGUGCCGGUAAACCACACACGCUCCACUAACGUCUUCGCAAGGGUACAAAGUGUAAUUUCAUGGAAUUGCAUCAAUUCACUUUUGCCUAAGUAACUAAGAUUGGGAAUUUUAUGAAAACAUUUAGUUACUUUAAUAAUUCAUUAUACUUAUAAUGGAAGGUUUCGUCCUAUCCUACCCGUUCGGCUAACGACCCUCCACUAGUCAAGAGUGCGGUGGGUAAGAGUGGAUACCCAUUCAAUCGCCAUUUUAUAGGCAAUUUCCUUAAACACCCCUUAUAGACCAGCUUCGUGAAUGAGGCCUACUAACGGUAAGACUGACUUUUACUCAUUCAUAUAUAUAAUGUUAGACUUUUAAUGUUAUAUAUAGUAUAGGGUGUGUUUUACACUUUAAAAUACUAGGUGGUCAAAUAUAACAAUUAUAUUUUUAAUUGUAAACCAAAACUUUUAUGGAUUUAUUAAACUUCUUUUAAUUAUACACCUUAAUUAAUUAAUAAAACCAUAAGGGUGUAAUUUGAACCUUUUCAAAACAAUACUAGGGUUUUAGAAUUUAACAUCCUAAUUAAACUUUUAAUCAACUUUUAAAUUCCAAAACUUGAGGGCAAGUUUUGAAACUUUUCAAAACAAUUUAGUUUUAAUCUCUCUUAAAAUUUUCGAAUUUAUGCCAUAUAAAUUAAUAUUUUAAAUAUUAAAACUCUUGAUUUAAUAAUUAUCUUGAAUUAGACUAUUAAUUUAAUUAUUAAAUCAUAAGGGAUUAUCUAAAUCAUGAGGAUAAUUACCAUUUAUACAUUUAAGAUAUCCUAAUCCCUUAAUUAUCUCUCUAGAUUUCGAAAUUAUGGUUAGGAUAAUGCAAAAUCUAUAAUUACCAUAUAUAACAACUAGAGGAUAAUUACAAGAUAUGGGAUAAUCCAAAUCCCUAAAAUUUAGGAUCUUAUCUUGGGGAGGAGGCUAAUUUCGAAAAUCAUGGGGUUUUUCAAACCCUAGAUUUCGAAAUCUUGAGGCUUAAGUAAAGGAUUUGAAACCCUUUCAAAUUUUCGCAAAUUAGGGUAUAGAAACCCUAAUCUCGAAAUUUCUAGCCUCCUAGGGUUUAUUGGCUAUAAACCCUAAUAUGUCAAGUUCAUACAAUUGUAUAAUACUAAUUGAAAACAAGUUAACCAAAGGCUCUGAUACCACUGAUGGGAUUUGUACAAACAAUCCUAUGUGUGCAUGCAACCCUAGAAUUGGAUCUAUGUUUUCACUAUUAGAUACACAACAUUAUGAACACAUAAAGAAACCCUAAUUCUAGCAUAUAAGUAAUCAUAUUAACAUAAGAAUAGGUUUAUAAUAUUACCUUGAUUGUUAUGUAGCAAUAACAAUCCCAAAUCUCCUUGUAUUGACUUUGGAAGGCUUAGAGUCACAAGUGUCACUCCUCUAAUGGUUCACAAACACCAAGAGCAAAUGGAGAAGCAAGAGAGAGAGGGAAGAGGUAUAAAAUUCGUUUCUAGGAACCCUAGACAAGGCAUGGACGAAGUCUUAUGGCCUUAGGGUUAUUUAUAUAGGUGUAGAGAUUAGGUUUCAGUCCUUAUCCUUAUCUAGUUGCUUGCCCACCAAGCAACCAUAAGAUAAGCCUUGAAAACCCUUAUCUUUUAUCCUUUGGACGAUUUCAAGGAUCCUUAUCUCCUUGAAUUCGUUCAACCCAUAUUUAUUAUAACCAUUACGAUAUUUUGUAACUAUCACAUAAUUACAAUUCAGCCCCUCUAGUUUAAUUAAUUACAUUUGAUCACAAAAUUAAUUCUUAAUUAAUUAUUGACCAAUAUAAAUAAAACAAAUAUGAUUUCUCCUUUAAUAUAUUAUUCUUAUAACAUAUUAAUAAAUCAUAAUAACCUCUCUCUUUAUUUAUUUCUCCAAUCAAGUUGCUUUGGUGAAGGCAACCCAAAAGGACCAUGCACCAUCGGGUCAAGUACAUACCAAAAUAGUUAUGGACUUAGACACUAAUCCAACAGAUAUCACAAAAAAUCACAAAAAAAAAAUCCAACAUUCCUGAAAGACUCACAGCACAUCGAUCAUAAAACCUCAAAACAAAAUAGCGUGUAACAAAUGCCACCACCAUAUCCCUCAAUCGGAAACAUAAAAUAAAAUUAAAGAAAAACCUACUCCUUUCAUAAUUGAUUGCAUAUUUCUAUGUGUUUUUGAUUGUGUGUUCAUAUGUGCUUGUGUAAGUGUGUGAUUGUGAACAUGAAUCAGAAUGGAAUCGAGAACCAAAAAAGUAGGUAGAGGAGGAUAUCGUUCCUGACCAAUUAAUGAGGAAGAAGAGAAGAGAGAUUGAAGAAAGAAUAAAAUUACCUUCGACGUUUGGUAAUGAUGAACACAUCAUCAAAUGCGGGUAAUUAAGCUCGAAUUGAAGUUUUUCGAGCCCUAAUCACACCUUAAUCAAAUUUUGGGGAAGUGAUUACCUAAUCAAAGCUUCAAUUGGUAAAACUAGGGCUUCAAAAUUGGAGCACAGUACAGAAAUGAACGAAGGAGAAAUUGGUGAUCUUCAAUGCAGUACCAGCGCCGACGGAAGGCGGAAGUCGAGGUAACGAUUGUGGUAGUGAUCCAUGUAGAUUUUAAACAGAGGAAAGCGAGUGCGAGCUCUAUGUAGCAUAAAUACGUAAUGGAGAUGAUAACUAUAUUUUGUGUUUGUUUUAUUAGAAUUUAACCCUCAACUUAUUGUUCUUAUGCUCUCACCCCUUCACCUUUUAAUCAUUUCCACUAAGACCCUUAUUAUUACUCCAAACCCGUUUAUACCAAAUUACGAAAUUACCCUAACAAUAAAUGGGUAAAAAUCACUACUAUGAAAUAAUCACCCAUCUAUGUGAUGAUACAUACACAUCUACAUGAUGGCACAUACUAUCUAAUAUUUUUGAUGUGAAAUUACCAUAAUGCUCUUCAAUCGAAUAAACUAUCAUUGUGGCCAUUUACAUAAUGUGAGUUUAUAAUUCUCAUUUUUGUUUUUAAAUUUAUUAGAUUAUUACUCACAUUAAAUACAAGAAACAUAUAAAAAAUACAUAUAAAAUUAUAAAAAGUCAACACAAUUAAAAUACUAAGAUAAAGUAAUAUAAAAAUUUAAUACCAUAAAACAAAAUAAAAUAUGAGUUGACGAUUAAAACUAUAAAUUGAAAAAACAAAGUACUCAAUCAUAAACUAAUAUAAAAUAGUAAAUAUCUUCAUUAGAAAUAACAACGGUUUUCGAAUACAAUUUUAAAUAUAUACAAUCACAUAUUUCUACUUGGUAUAGUCAUUAUCUCAAAAUUUGAAUUGAAUGAAAAUACUUCAUGAGAACAAUGUACCGGAACGACAUACUCAAUCGUAUUUCCUUUGGAAUAAAGGAGAAUGUUUUGAUAAUCCCACUAUUCGAGCCCUCGGGGGCUCCUCGCUACCCUGGUGUCCAUUUCUGAUCCUCAGAGUGGUUGGCGCUGGACCCUGCACCGUCCUAGCCGCAAACAAUGAACAAUUGGACUUCACAAGGCCCACAUGAUCACAAUGCUAACAAAUCUUGUCACUCGGUAUUAGGGCCGAUUAGCGAUAAUCCCUCGUGAAGUGCCCAUCCUUUCCACAUUUGUGGCAUCCAACAGAUGAUCGGCAAGCACCCUCAUAAACCUUGUUGCACUUGCCACAUGUUGGAUUAGAUGUCUAAGCCCAUAACUAUUAUAGGUAUGUACUCGACUCGAGAGUAGCAUGGUCCAUAUGGGUUGCACUUCACCGGAACAAUUUGUAAGGAUAUUCUUUUGAGAAUAGUAUGUAUAUAGUUUAUUAAUAUAUUAUAAGUUAUAAUAUAUUAAUAUGAAAUCAUAUUAUUUAAUCAGUAUUGAUCAAGAAUUAAUUUAGUGAUAAAAAUGAACUAAUUAAAUAUGGACUCUUAUAUAUAUAUAAUGGGACAAGUUCAUUUAGGGUGGGCGAAGAUUUCAUGGAUAAUCCAUGGAGUUUUAACCCAUGGAUCCUAUGGAAAUGNUAAUGGGCCGAGUUCAUUUAGGAUGGGCUAAGCUUGUAUGGAUAGUUCAUGGAGUUUUUAAUCCAUGGAUCCUAUGGAAAUGAAUGGUCACGGAUAUUAGGGUUUACAUGAAUGUAACCAUAAUCCUCCAUACUAUAUAAAGAGGUCUUUGAAACAUGAAAUGGCACAAGUGUGUGUGUAAACAAGAGUGGGCCGAUUUCUAGUGUGAUUACUAUUCUCUCAAGUUUUCUAAGGUGUUUUGGUGAUUUGUGAUUCCACUUGAGGCAUCCACAUUAUUGGUGCUAGGCUCUUGAAGCUCCAAGAAAUCAACCACAAGAAAAAGGUAUGUCAUCCCAAUAAGUUUUAUAUUACAAGUACCCCAUGGUAUGUUAGUUAGGAUGAGAACCUUGGAAAAAUCAUAUUUACAUGUAUAAUAGAGAAAACAUAUAUCCAAGGUUUCUAGGGUUGCAUGUACACCAUAGGAGUGUUAGAAUGCUCAAAACCAUUCAGUGGUAUCAGAGCCUACGCUUGUUUUCAUUAUACUUGAUGCAAAAUGCUUGAAAAAGUCGAAAAACUAUUCACAAUUCAGUGGACUUGCCGAGUCCAUGGGGGACUCGACGAGUCCAAGUGCAAACUCAUCUUACUCAUCGAGUAGACUCUUGCACUCAGCUAGUAGAAGGCCUUGUGUGCAGAUUUUCGAGUUUUGCUGCUGGAAAUGGACUAGAAUCAUUACACAAAACUGUUUUGGACUUAUAAAACCUGUAUUUGAUGUGGUAAUGGUUAUGCUAAUCCAUUUUCAAUGGUUAUUAUCAAAUUUUCAAUUUUUAUAUAUGUUAAUAUGAUUCUUGAUAUUGUUGAUAUCGAUGUUCAUACUUAUGAGUUUUAGUAGAUCAUAGGAAUUAUUUGCAAAUUGUUUGUUAGUGUAAUUCUUGAUCUAAAUGCCAAUUAAUGGACUCAUUAACUUGUCCUCAAGUUAUGGAAUUCCAAAAGUCUUUUCUUUACAACCAAUAAACUCAUAAGUUAUAAAAAUGAAAAGUUUUUGAAUAGUUUCAAAACUUGCCCUCAAGUUUUGGAAUUUGUAAAGUCACACACACACACAAAGUUUAAUUCCAAACCCUAGAGUUUUAAAAGUUAAAAUGCAACCCUUAUACUUUAUAGUAUUAUAAGUUAAUUAUAUAUAUAUAUAUAUAUAUAUAUAUAUAUAUUUAUACACACACACAUAUAUGUAUGUAUGUAUGUAUAUAUGUAUGUAUGUAUGUAUGUAUGUGUGUGUGUAUGUAUGUAUGUAUGUAUGUAUAAGAUCAAGUCACUUUUACCGUUAGUAGGCCUCAUUCACGAAGUCGGUCUAUAAGGGGGUAUAAGGUUGUUGCCUAUAAAAUGGCAGCUUAAUGGGUGUCCACUCUCACCCACCGCUUACUUUACUGGUGGAGGGUCAUUAGCCGAACGGGUAGGACAAGGAGUAUAAUUCUCAUUAUAAGUAUAAUGAUAAAUAUAAAGUAACUAAACCUUUUUAUAAAUUCCCAAUCUUAGUUACUUUAGGAAAAUGUGAAAAUGGUGCUAACCCAUGAAAUUACACUUUGUACCUUACCAAGUCGUUGGUGGAGUGUGUGUGGGUAACCGACACACUAACAUGGACUGGUAAGAGUGGAAAAGGGUGACUUAAUGUUUAUCAUAGAUCGGUGGAGCGCGUGUGGGUAAUCGGCACAUCGAUUAGGUAAUAAAAGUAAGGGUACCAAGUUAAUUUGCAUGGUUAUUCACACCUUGUUUGUGAUCCUCGACAUCCUAGUCACAAACUUGAUAGGGCAAAAUCGAGAUUUAAACAUACCAUUGAAAAUUUCAAUGAAUCUUAAAAGAUCUAGGAGUUUCAAUCCAGUUAAAACCUAAUACCUAUUUCGUUUCUCAUGGUGGAAAUUGGUGAAUCGUUAUUCGCCUACCUUCAAAUAUUUUGUAGCUUGGAUCACAGCAUCCCUCUUCCAAGUUAUAAAAUAUUGUGUUGGGUCCUAGCCUUAAUAUUUCAAAUUAGGUGUUCUAUUAAGGAAGCUUAAAAGAAGAGUAUGUUGAAUCUGAUCGCGAAGAUGGAUUUCAUUCGCGUGGUUAGAAGAUCGGAUUUUUGAGCUACUACUUAGGAGCUAUGAUAGAUUGUUGGGAAAUGUGUAAUAGCAUAGUUUUCACUUGAAAGUGCAUUGUACGGAAAAGUUUUUCCGCAUUUUAUAAAUAAAUAAAUAAAAGUUUGUUUAUUUUAUAUUUCCUUGUAAUGGCAUUUAUGAAAAAAUGUUGUUUGUAUUUUUUAGCAAUAUUGGAAAUAUGAAUUUGAUUCUUUCAUUUGUGGUAGUGUCUAAAUUUGCCAAAUAAGGAAAGAUUCUCAUCACCUAAGUUUCAAUUGGAGAGGAACUUGGAAUAAUGUAAAUUGUAUUGUAUGAUGAAUGAGAAUCUUCAUCUUUGGAAAAUUAAGACUAAUUCCUUGUUCACAUGUAUAUAUGAGUCAAGUGAAGGACUAAGGGAUCGAGUACACAUUCUUGUGUACUAGUCAAGCCCACCACAAAGAUCGAUAAGACUAUUCGUCAUGAUUUACUAAAGUUUAGUAAAUACGGUUAUACUUACAAGUUUAAAUAUAAUUCUGAAACAUUGGAAAAGUUCCAAUGUAUGGCAAAACGAAUGAGAAGAAUCAAAUUAGGCAGAAAGAUAAAAGUUUCUCAAAUAUGGAAAGAUGAGAGAGUACUUUAGUAUUAUGUUUUGUGAUCAUCUUAAUGAUUAAGAAACCAUAUCACAAUUGAUCCUCUAAGGACAUCUUAGUGCAUUCCUAUGGCUAAUAAGAGGAAUCAUGAAUUGUUGAAAUGGUUAAAUCAAGAAGAUGAGUCACACUUUGUUCCAAAACAAUUCUUAGAGUCAUACUUCAAGAUUGUAACUUGAGUGACAUAUCUUAAAGAAGGUUUAUAACACUUAUCAAAUGUAGAGUAAAAUGUUUUCUACUCUUGUACAUUUGAAAUUGGUAAUUUGUGAUGUUUUGGAUAAAAUAAAGACCAACUAAGGCCAAUUGUGUGAAGUGUUUGUCUUGAUAAGAAUCCACACUAUCUCCUGAAUAUUUGUUUGUCAAGGAAUGGUUCUUGUCAAGAGAGUCUUAUAUGUCAAGAGGACAAUGGGAGUCUUAAACAUCUUGAAAGAGUUUGAAGAACUAAUCAAGAAUAAAACCUGUAGUUUAUCACUAGCACACGACUUGAGGUUUAUAACCUAUCGUGCUGACAUAAUUCUUGUUUUUAUGCCCAUUCUGGUUAAAGUUGACUAUGCAUGUGGCUUCUAUGAGUUCUCGGUUGCUUGCAUAACAACUUGGAAGACAUGGUAGGCCCUUGUGCUACCAGGUGGCAAGAAAUUAAGAUUAAACAAGUUCAGUCCAUAUGAAUUUGUCACUAACCUUGUCUUGUGAUUAUGGUUUUGACAAAUUCACAUGAAUAGGAACACAUACACCAUAAAAUCUAAGUGUCAUUAGGUUUCUCUCCGAUUCAUGAAAAUGAUGGUGAGGAAACGCUUUUGCUAAAUAGAUUUUAAGUAGAUAGCAAUUGUGAUAUUUGCAUUCUCAAAGUCGUUAGUGGAGCGUGUGUGGUUAACCGGCACAUUAACAUGGACUUGUGAGAAAUGACAAAGGUCUAAACAAUUGAGACUAUGAUUACGACAUCCAUUUUCAUAGUUCUAAAAUUGUUUAGACACACAUGUGAGAUGUCUAAGAAAAGGUGUAUGAUUUUCAUAAAGUUUUAUCAAAGCAUCUCGUAUCAGAAAUUUGAACUUUGGUAAGAAAGUCAGUAAAGUAUUGAUUUCUCGAAGUCCAACUGAUUUAUGGAUACAUGUCAAAGCUAGUGGGAGCAUAAGUGUUAUGAUAAUAAUUAUCAUGUUAGUGGGAGCAUGAUUAUUAUGUUUAGUGUUGCAAGUUAGCAAUGUUAAUUAUAGAAAACAAAAGUUUCAAUUGGAAAAAUGUACUUUGCAAGGUUUGAAAAGUUGUUUUGCUAUAUUUAAAGGAGAGGAAAUUAUACUUCAUUUCAAAUCUAAAAGCUUAGAUUGUGAGUUUUUAAUCAAAUUUAGUCAUAAUUACAUUAUUUGCGUUCUAAAAUUCGAUUAUAAUUACGACAUCCCUUUUCAUAAUCUAAAGUAUGAGAACAUGACAAAUAGAAAUAGAAAUAUUAUAGCAAAAGACUCUUCUAGUAUCAUGUCUUUAUGUGAGACAUCACGAAUCAUGUCUCAUAUGCUUUGGAUAUAGGAUCGAUUACAUGUGCUAUAGUAUUCAUCUGUUCUAAAGUUUUCCAAAUACCUAGUGCAUUAAGGGGGAAAAAAAAAUACUUGAACUGGAUAUGACUAAAAUGAUUAUGCAAUUGUCGAGGACAAUCUGAGGUUUUCCAAAGAUUGGUUGCUCAUGGACAAUUGGAAGUAUAAGUGUUAAUUUUGAAAGGAUCAUAUUGACAUCAUCUGGAAAGAGGCAACUCUUGUUCAGAAGUGAUAGUCAAAAUGGGAAUGUGGAAAUGUUUCCAUAGGUGGAAGGUAUUCAUUAAAUUUGUGUAAGAUUAGAAAACUAAAUGCAAGAAGGAUGUUCAAAGGAAUGUACUUUGAAUUUGAGACUUCGUUUCCAUGGAAUUGCUCUCCAUUGGAAUACUUUGUAAAUGUCUGUUGCCAAGUUGUGACUUUUGUGCAUAGUCAUUACAAGAGGAUCAAUGCAUAUUAGUCAGUCGUCAUAAAUCGGAAUUCAGGAAACAACAAAUGGAUGGAAAGAAUGAUUAUAAUCCAUGUCUCAGUCCAUAUGAUAUCUAGAAUGGAGAAAUAUAUGAUCCCUUAUCUAGUAGACACGUCAUUUGACUAGGUCAGAGUUCGGCAGUGGCUUUAAGAGCUACGAUUUCUAGUCGGGAUCUUGCAGUCAUAUUUGAAUAAUAGUUUUAGACAUAUCCAAGUGGGAUACUAUUGGAUUAGAUGUCGAAGCCCAUAACUAUUAUUGGUAUGUACUCGACCCGAAAGUAGCAUGGUCCAUUUGGGUUGCUGUUAGGCGUGUCAGACCUAAAAAAUAAUAGGGGUAUGAUAUACUCCAAAAUAAUCCCACUAUAUUGCACUAAAAGGUAGUACAAGGCAAGCAGGUUCGAUCCACAGAGACACGGGAUAAUAAGUGUAUACCUCUUUGCGCAAGGUACUAUGGUCACCAACAGUAAUAAAGGGGGUUUAGAGUGCAAUGACUAAACAAACAAAUUUAAAACACGAGUAGCAAACUAAACGAAUGAAUUAAGUUCAAAUUUUGUAAGGACUCCAACUCCAUGUAUGACAAUCCAGCAAUGUGAAUCAAAGAUGACAAGACAUUUUUUCAUUCUAUCUAAGUUGGUACUUGAAAGUGUUAACAAGCUCUAACAAUUUCCAUUCAUGACCACAUUAAUCAAUCAAAACAAGAUCAUUGAUUAAUCCUAACCUUACUAACCUAAUUGAAAUAAGCUCUUAGAAGUAGAUUAAAUGAUUGCAUAAGCUUAUUGUGAAUGUUCCCAACAACACCCAAUACUCCUCACAAGCUCGGGAGCAUAAGAAUGUGUGAAAAGAUUUACACUAAAUUCAUUCAUAAAAAAUCAAUUUAAUGCUUGUUACUUAGUUCAAUUCACAAAACAAUUACGGAUUUUGCAAAAUGAAUAACUUGAAUUACCUAACCCUAAUUCAAAUGGACAAUAAGAAUCAUUAUUAGAAUCAAACAUUCGAUUGAAGUAAAAUCAGUUUCACUAGAUAUAAAUUAAACACAAACAUCAGGUCAUAUGAUUUGAUUCACAACCAAAAAGUCAAAACAUGAAAUUACAGAAGUUAGGGUUCUAGCCACAGAUGGCUAGAACAAGAUCACAAGUCUAUAAGAUGAAAUUAAGUGUAAUCACAACUUACAAAAACGAGAAUUAAUGUUUCCAAAUGAUUCCUAAUCAAACCCUUGCAAAAACCUUCGAAUUCUCCUCUUCAAUGGUGCUCUGAUAUGUUGUGUGUAUGUAAAAGUGGCCCUCAACCCGUAAUAUGAAAGAUAGGAAAAGCUGCCAAAAGUUGGUUUUUGGGUCGAACACGGCCCGUGUUAAAAUAGGCUAAACUGACACCGGUCGUGUUCAGCAGCCAACACGACCCGUGUUGAUUUGCACUAAACUGACACGGCCCGUGUUCAGCAUGGUCAACUGCUUCUUCUUGGUCAAACACACCCCGUGCCCACUUUUCAGUGUAAAUUCAACACACCCCGUGUACCUCUCUGACUCCAAUUCCAAACUUGAUUUUUCCAACUUUUUCGUUCUUCACCCGCUCAUACCGAAAUCUUCACCAAUGAUUCCUGGCACCUCCCAAAGCGCAUUCUAAUCUCCGGUUUACCUGAAAAAGACAUGAAAGUGUGCAAAUAAGGUUGUUCUAAAGAUUAACAUGCAUAUGAUGAAAUGCAACAAAAAGGAAGAACAAUUAUGCUAAAUAGAUGCAUGAAAUGGGACUAAAAGGUGUGCAAAAAGGUGCACGAAUUGCACCUAACAGUUGCACUUCAUUCGAACAAUUUAUAUGGAUAGUCUUUUGAGAAUAGUAUGUCUAUGGUUUAUUAAUAUAUUAUAAGUUAUAAUAUAUUAAUGUAAAAUCAUAUUAUUUAAUUAGUAUUGAUCAAGAAUUAAUUUAGUGAUCAAAAUGAACUAAAUAGCUAUGGNNNNNNNNNNUAUAUAUAUGUAUAUAUAUAUAUAUAUAUAUAUGGAUAGUCCAUGGAGUUUUUAAUCCAUGGAUCCUAUAGAAAUGAAGACGGAUGUGUGCUGAUUUCUAGUAUGAUUACUAUUCUCUCACGUUUUCCAAAGUGUUUUGGUGAUUUGUGAUUCCACUUGAGGCAUCCACAUUCUUGGUGCUAGGGUCUUGAAGCUCCAAGGAAUCAACCACAAGCAAAAGGUAUGUCAUCCCACUAUGUUUUAUAUUACAAGUACCCCAUCAUCUGUUAAUUAGGAUGAGAACCUUGGAAAAAUCAUAUUUGCAUGUAUAAUAGAGAAAAAAUAGAUCCAAGGUUUCUAGGGUUGCAUGUACACAAUAAGAGUGUUAGAUUGCUCAAAACCCAUCAGUGUGGCUCCUCUGUGCCCCGGACCUCAAAUAUGCAGGUUUUAACCGAUUUGUUGUAGGAUGUGACUGAAUAGGAUCAUGCCUGAACUCGUUCAUCUGAAUCUCAAUCUCAAUCUCCCACAUCCUUUCGGCACAGUGAAGCUCAGCGAGGGUAACAUAACGCUAGGUGGAUACAUCCGUCUUGAGCAUGCUCAUGGACCUCAUGGACUCUUAGCCCAUCCUAAAUAAAUCUUAGCCCAAUCCAUAUAUAUAUAUAUAUAUAUAUAUAUAUAAGAGUCCAUAUUUAAUUAGCUACAUAUUGAUCACUAAAUUAAUUCUAAAUUAAUUCUUGAUCAACACUAAUUAAAUAAUAAUAUGAUUUCAUAUUAAUAUAUUAUAACUAAUAAUAUAUUAAUAUAUCAUAAACAUCUUAUUCUCAAAAGUAUAUCCAUACAAGUUGUUAGGUGAAGUGUAACCCAAAUGGACCAUGCUGGGUCGGGUCAAGUUGAUACCAAAUGUAGUUACGGACUUAGACACCUUAUCCAACACCAUGUAGCACUCAUGUAUGCUAACCAUACAUAACACUGGAUCCUAUAGACAUUCGAAUACUUGAUUAUACCCUAAGCCCACAACCAAAAAAUGAAUAGGAAAUAAGGCUAAACCAAACAUUCUCAAGCUAUAAAAUCUUAGUUAUGUACAACUAUGAUGCAUACACUAAGAAACUACAGUAAUGAUGUGAAUUUCAUAGAAGACGUACCCCUAGGCUAUCAGGCAUCAUACAUCAAGCAACUCUACCAUGCCAUUCCUAAAGAUCCAUAGCCUAUCACUACACUGCUAGAAAAACAGACUUUUACGACGCUCAUUGCGCGUCGUGAAAGGAUCAGACGACGCGCAAAUGCGCAUCAAGGAAGGCCCUGUCAUAAAGAGAGACGAUGCGCAUUUACGACGCUCAUUUACGAUGCACAGUUACGACGCUCAUUUACGACACGCAAUGCGUAUCAAGGAAGGCCCUGUCAUAAAGGAAGACGACACGCAUUCGUGUGUCGUAACCUUACGACGCGCAUGUUAAUGACACGCAAUGCAUAUCAAGAAAGCCCCUGUCAAGAAAGGCUAUGUCAUGAAUGAAGAUGACUCACAUUUUUGCGUAUCAUAAUUUUAAAUGUUUAAAAAAUAUAUUAUUUAUAGAUUUACUAAUGUUCAAAUUAAAUAAUACAUUAAAAAUCUCAUAAUACAAAAGAAAAUACCAUAAAUAACAAAGAUAAUUCAUCUCACUAAUAUGUCAAAUACAAAUAAUUAUUCCAAAAGUGAGUAAAUGUUAUAAAAAAAUGAACUCAUUUAUAUACAAUUGCAUCAUCUAACUUACUAUGUGCCAACAACUCUCUGUGUGUUUACUUUUGCUUGAGUCUCGUUUCCUCCAAAGCUGCUAGCCAUGCCAAAAUAUGAUAUCUUGAGUCUCGUUUCCAGAACCAAAAUCACCUUCAAUCACCCAAUUAAACUUUUAUGUUGGUAGACUAAGAGUUCCAGAAUCAAGUUUACAUCCAUCACCUUCAAUCACCCAAUUAAACUCUAGAUCUUCUGUUGUUUGAAAGAAAUUGGUGUUUGUAAUCUAUGAACAAAAAACGCAAAGACCAAGGUUAACAUUUGCUAUAUAGAAAUAGCUAUCAAUCAAACAGAGCCAAAAGUGUUUACCGAUAAAUUAAUGCCCCCCCUGCAACAGUUUGUCUUUGAUUCCUCUUAUUCACAUGACAUGAUAACUCAGCAACAAACUCAUGAGCUUUAGUAAGUUUUGAAGCAUAAUUAUGUUUCAUGUGAAGUACACCCCCUGGUCAUCUUCCUUGUAUCCAAUAACUAAUGUCAUUCAGUUGUUUCCAGUCCUCAUCAGUGAAUUGCAAAGCUUGAUUUCAUCACCACACAGUGAAAAAAUAUUUCUCAUUGAAUAGAAAAAAAAAGUAACUAAACACCUGAAGUACGAUGACAUGGAAGCUGCAAUCUAAAAGAUCAAUUAACAAUGGUGAAUAUAAAGUUAAUCAGAAAAGAAAGGCUUCCAUAUCUUCAGAAGAAAAGUUAAACAGAAAAAGAAAGGCUUCCAUAUCUUCUCCUGACUUGAAGUUUUGUCCUGAUCUAUUAGGAGAUUUAUAAUCCAAAUCGUACUUUGUACCUAAUACAAGAAAAGAAAUAAAUAUAAAUGUCAAGUAAUCAAUCACAUGAAUAUUUGCUCAGGUAUCAUAGAGAAAGUUGCUUUAUAUUUCAAUGGCAUACCUAUAACUAGGUAGAUUUUUCAAACUUGUAAUAGGGAGAAUUUAAGAAAACAAAAGUACAAUGAUAUUGUAAAUAAGUUGAUGAAAGUAUGUUGUUAUUUAUUGAAUGCAGCCAAUGUUAAGAGCAUAUGAGAGGAAUGAUAAUUGACCAAAUGCCAUCCCACUGUUAACUGUAUACACCUCUGACUUGCAGUACUUGAGGGCAAUUUCGGAAAUUAAUAAAUCAUAUCAGUAAAUAACCUUAAAAGAAUAAAAUGAAUGAUUUUAAUUGCUUACAGCCAUGAUGUUAGCAAUGGCGUAUGCUUCUGUUUCAGACCCCACUAUCUCCAUUUUUGUCAUUCUACAAAAGAAAAAAAACAAAAUCUUUAUUGACUUAUUUCUUGUAUUUAGUAAUUUAACCUUAAAAGAAACAAAACAAAAGAAAAAAUCACCUGUUUUCCGGAUGAAUUAAUGUAAAGAUAAAUAGGCUUAUGUGGAUUAUCAUAAUCCAACCACAUAAAUUGAGCAACAAGAAGCUCAGUCAGUUCAGGAACAAUCUACAACAACCAAAAUUAUACUUAAAUUCCUUAUAAAAAUAAAGAAUUAAAAAAAAAUAAAAUAAAAAUACAUUGCUAUUUCUUAUAGGCAUUCCUAGGAAACAAAUACGAGCAUCUAGAAGCAAUGAUGGAAGAUCUGGAGGCCGGAGCACUUCUAGGUCUUCCGGAGCAAAAUGAGAAGUUUGAUCACCUCUUAUUCUUUCAUAAAUUAUGACAACUAAUUUUGAAAACUAAACUUGAAUGUACAUUUCUAAUUUAUCUAUAUAGCAAAUUUAAUGUAAAGGUCUAGUGUAGCAAGAUGAUCAACUUGUUAUAUUUCCAAGGUUGGGAGGUGUUAAGUGCUUCUCCUGUGAUAUGUGAUGAUAAAUCUAAAUUAUAAAGGCAUGGGAAAACAGGUAGACUUUAAGUAUAUGCUUGUUGCUCCAGAUGUCAUGCACAAUGAAAGUUAAAAUGCAACAUACAAGGAAACAAGAUAUAAAAAAAUAUUGAUAGAUCAAGCCCUAGAACAAGUUUAUGUCUUCUAGCGGUAUAGUGACUUUCUUUGGUGCAAAGACCUUAUUCUUUUUUCUCACAAAAUCGAUCCCUAUAGAUGGAAAAAUAUAAAGGAAUGGUGAAAAUACGGAAAACAGAAUGAUAAAUAGAGAUAUUAGCCUAGUUUUGGUUUCAUUCCAAGUUAAAAAGAAAAUAUCAAAUGAAAACUUACGUCAAAUGAGAGUCAAAGUAACCAUUAAUCUUGCAUAAAACUAAAAAAAAAUACCUACAGCUACAGACAAGCACAAUUUACUAAACAGGUAAGAAAGUCUCCAAUAUAGAUUACCUCUUAUAUGCAAAAGAGAAAAACAACACCAAUACAAAUAGAACCCAGUCAUGUAAGUCCACUCUGAUAGAAACCUGUCAUUUAAAUGUUCUUCAUGUUUCCAAUGACUAUGUUUGAUAAAAAAAAAAGAAAAUGAACAGAAAGACUUCCUAAUGAUAAUAAUGAGGGUAAAUUGAUAAUUUAAACUCAAAAUGCUGCAUUUCGCAUAGGGCAUCCAAUUUGGAAAUUUGUUCAAUUAUUGUGGGAUGGAAAUAAUCAAACAACGUAUAUUUUAUUGAUAUUAUGUUGAUAAGUUGCAUGUCUUCUAUGUUACCUAUUUUAACAGAAGAUCUAAGGAAGACUGAAUAUACUUACUGUACAAACCAAAGUAAUAGGAAGGACAAUGCAGAGGAAGUCGAUUAUUCGUCCUCAAAAUCCCUCUUUUCUGUCAAAUAAAAUUACAUGAAUAUGUCAAGGACAACAUUAAUAAACACCUAUUAAAUUGCAAGGGAAAAGAAUAACAAAAAAGAAAACCCCACAAACCUCUGGUUGCUUUAGCAAUUGCAGAGCUUGAACCCUUGCAACUUUCCUGGUUUGACCCGUCCCAUUACCAACCAACAAGGUGUCUUUGAGCUGCAACCAUAACUCAGAAAUUACCAAAAUCGACAUUGCUACUACAGGUUUCCUUGGUGAAAAAAACCCACUGAAUCGAAUAAUUCUGCCAACUCACAUAGAUGGAAGCUUAACUUUAUUCACUUUUACAAUUGAAUAUAAUAAUGGCUCAAAGAUUCUCCAAACUUCAUCAAGAUUAACCAAAUAUGCCCUAAGUUCUCAUAUUUCUUCAACAGGAACAGGAACAUGAGACACCAGAUUGGGUGCACUUGUAGACUAUACGUUUUCUGUCCCAGGAGCACAUGUGACUUCAGUUUGGCUAUAAUAAUUUGUCCAUUGUUUAUUAUAAUCUUGUUGAUAUUGUACAUAUGCCACAGGAGUAUUAUUUUGAGCAGUAUAAGCAAGAUUAGAAUCUGUAGUGUAGUUUGAAUAUUGAUGAACAUAACUUGUUGAGGGUAUGAUUGAUUUGGCUGUUGCUACUGAUAGCUACUACUAGAGUAACAUGCAUAUCCUAUGUUUCCAUAUCCAUAUGGGUCAUUGUUCGGGUAUGUAGCAGUUGCAGUUGCAGUUGGAGUUGCAUAGUUAGCAUACUCUAAAUUAGCUGCUCCAGAACAUGAAACAGUGCCAGUAUAUUCCGCACUCAAUCUAUCUUGAAGGUUUCUUGAUUGAGGUUCUGAACGGUGAUCAUCAUCAUCAUCUAUCGAUAGAUGAUGAUGAUGAUGACCCAUGUUCACUCGGGUUUUUUCUUACACCAAGACAAUCCAAAACCGCUACCACACUUGACCUAACAUUAUUAUGCUCCUCCUUUAUUUUAGACAUUCCUUGAAAGUAACAAGGUUAUAUUAAAUACAACGCAAUUAAUAAUUAACAUUUACACAGAUAAAACAUUGAUCACCUGUAAAGCAGUAUGUACAAGUUUAUGUGCUUCAUUUCUUGAACUUUUCAAAAUCCCAAUCACAUUAGGUGCCAACUGAUUAUUGUUAUUGGAAGGAAAGUUGUUUUCAUGAUUAGAAGUCGUGGGGUCCACAACAAGCCCAGAAUCGGGAUUAGGCUUUUGCCAUGUAGGCAUCGGGAUUCCUGGGUAUGUGUUGCGUCGCCUCAAAUUUGCAAGAGCAGAAGCAACCUGAUUAAGAUUAUUUGUUAAAAUUAAUUUGUAAUUUGUAAAUAUAUAUGAUAAUAAUUAUUUAUGAAAUAAAUGAUACCUGAUCACUAGCUUCUUUGAGCUGUAAUAGUACCAUUGCAUAUUCCUUUUUGAAGCUUUCGGAUACAUUCAUGGGGACACCUGUCUCGUUUUUGUGACUUGAUAAGCUGUCAUUUACAAGCUUAAGCUCCUUCAAUAUUGCUUCCUAGAAUUCAUUCACAUCAGACAAAUUAGAAAUUUAAUUGAAUUUAUAGAGAAGAAAUAAUAAAGAAAGUAUGAAAUGAAGAGAAAUACCUUUUUAUCAAGAGCACGAGUAAGCUCAGAGAGUGCAUGUAUAUCAAUUUCUCUUGCCUGAAUUUGAGAGGCUGCUGCAUGCUGAUGCUGUGAGAUAAUAACAUUGUCUGCAGCUUUAAGAGGUGCACCAGACCGAUUUUGUCCCUAAACAACGUAUAAUUUUUAAUUUUAUUAACAUAUGUUCGGGUAUUUUUUUUCAAAAAUAAAUUUAAGAAAACUAACCAGUCGAUGGAGACCGGGUUUUCAAUUAUACCCAACACACAUGAACCUUCACAUGGAGCGGGGCAAACCCUGCCCAUGAACUCUGGGAAGUUAUUUGUUUCAAGAAGUCGAUCCAAUGCCUCACGUCAUCUGUUGUGGCCGGGUCGCCCGAUGUUUGACCGCAUCAGUGACUCUUGAUGGUCGGGUCGCCUGUUCGGCAUUUUCAUCCUCCUUCACCUGAAAAUCGAAAUUAAACAAAAUUACUAUUUUACCCCUCAAACAAAUUCUAAAGCAUUAUAAAUAAAAAAAGAUAUGAUUCUCACCUGAUUAACAGUGUCAAUCAACUGAUUAACUGUCUCAGUCAGCGACUUGGCUGCCAGCUUCUUAAGAUCCUCAAAAGCAUCUUUCUCCUUCAACACAUCUUCCUCACGAAUGUCAGCUUCUUCAGCAGCCAAAUCAGCUUUUUUUUAGUUCUUUUCUAUGGAUUUUGACCAUUUUCAACUCGACCCACUAACACUUAAUAACCUUGACUUGUGGAGAGAAAAUCCAUGCUUUAACCUUGUAUAGAUCAUCUCUCGUUUUCUUGAAACAAGCAGCUUGGGACUGGAACAACAAAUAAAUCACAAUUUCUCAAACAAAUAAAAUACAGGGUUUAGAGCUCAUUUUAGAGCCAACUGAUAUGAAGGAAAAAAAAACCUCAUGAUACAGAUAUGCCUUGACCCCCUUUAGCCCAUGCCACAUUACAGACCCAAUCAGCUUGUGGCUUACUACAGAGAGAACCUAAAUUCAAAUCUCUAACACACAAUUUGAAGAAAUUGUUGUCUUUGUCAUACAUGGUGUAUGCAAUGAAUCGAUGACCAGGUGAGACUUCUGCUACCUCUUCAUAUGCAUAACCUAAAUGAAGUCAUGUUAAUAGAUUAAAUGAAGUGGAAGAGAAUUAGAGAUCGUUGAAAGAUGUUGAAAUGAUACUGGAAUUGGAAUUACCCCAAAUCUUUCUGCUUCUUGAUUGUAAUCGAUGAGUUUUUGUUCAAUCCUCUUCCCGGAGAUGAAAUCGAACCCACCUGUUGGACUUUUAUGUGAAAUGAACUCUUCGUUUAGGCUAGCUAAUCUCCUACAGAGUAAUGGAUAUUGUUUCCCUUCCUCUACUCUCCUGUAAUACAACCUGAAUUCCACCUCCAAAUUGCCAAAGAAGAACACGGAAUUUGAAUUCGGAUCCAAAAGAAAUCAACAAGCUUCAGAUGAAGUGCAAUUUGAAAUUGAUGGUACCAGGGCCCCCAGCGAAAUGGAGGAGUGGAGAGCUGAGAAGACAUGCGAGAUGCUAUUUUUGAUUGGAGUUUGGAUUGAAGGCGAUCGGUGUCUGCUAAAAUAGCUUCAAUCGAAUGGCGCUGAUGUAAGGAGUCACAUAACCUUCAAUCGAAGGUGUUUUGCGUGAGAGGAGCUGUUGGAUCUCUCUGAACAAUUUAUUGAGAAGUGGUUCAAAGCCCUAGUUCUUUUCGUCGAAUGGCGCUGAUGAAAGCAUAUGGAGACUUGGCGACAUAGUGGAUAGAGAAGAGUAGUGUCUGAUGGCGCUGAUAAAAACAUACGAGACAAACACUCUUUAUAGAAUCCAUGGCCACUUAGAGCUGAUGGGUUUCGAUGUUGGUGAUGGCGGCUUAGGGCUUGCAAAGAGAAGGGAGAGAGAGUGCAGAUCAAGGUACAGGAAGACGAGUUGCUUUAAAAGGAUUGACAGCCUCACAAUAGAAUUAGGUUUCUUUGUUAGAAUAGAAUUCGGGUUCUUUGUUAGAGGAUUGUAGAAGGAGAGAAGUUGGUGGGUGUUUAAUUUUUUGGGAUUUCAUUUCCCACCAUCGCCGAUUAAAAAAAAGCAAGAACGCGCCUUCCUAAAAAAUAUAAAGCGACAUCUUUACACGACGCGCUUUUUAUGGUAGGUGCCUUCUGUGUUUUUUUGGACAUUAAUUUCAGGCCAUGCAAAAAUACGCGCGCUCUAUCCUUCACAUUUUGCAAAGCUGACAUUAUUUUUUAGGGCACGUACAAAUGCGCGUCGUCUAUCAGCGCGUGUCACUGUUUGCGUGUCAUUAAAGGCCUAUUUUCUAGUAGUGCUAGCAUGUUGUUCUAUCAUAAACAUCAUAUCAAAUAACAGUAGGGUAAGUUAGGGUAUACAUUCUUCCUUAACUGAUUUUACACAUCGCAUCCUACCUUGGUUACUUUUAAAAAAAAUUGCAAACCAUUUUUAAAACUCUUGUAGUUUCUUAGUUUGAGUCUGGAUUCACACGAAUGUUCAUCCAAUUCUCUCAAACUAAGGCUCUGAUACCAAAUUGUAACGUCCCAAAAAUCAGAGUAAAAUUUUUCAUUUAUGUGACAUCCCCAAAAUCUUGGCCAGAAAAGACCGUUUUUCAUUUAUGCUUUAAAAAUAUUUUCAGAGUAAAUCCUUUUGAUUUGAAAGAGUUGCGGAAUUUGUUCCCAAAAACAAAACAUGAUAAAACAAUGUUUACCAAAGCAUUUCAUAAAAGAAAUGUAUUUUUCAUUAUAUAAUCAAAACUCGGGGUGUCAUGUUCCGAUACAGACCAAUAAGCAUAAACGAUAACAUUACAAGUCAUUCAACAAAUAUAUACAUAUACAGACUUGUAAACAAAACAACUAAUGGUUCAUCCAUCUCAUGCCCUCGCGCCACUUCCUGUAAUACAAAUAAAACUGAGUGGGUCAGGCUUGGGAGCCUGGUGAGCAUAUAGGGUUUUCAACCCACAAUAAUAUAAUUAUUAUAUGUAAUCAGCAAACAAUCAACCCAAUUACCCAUCCCCAUUAUCUUCUUAAGGUUUUACCCUAAGAACCAACUAUCCUUCAUUCAUUUAUUCAUAAGGAAUUUGGCACGAAUUCCAUUGCUGCCAAAGCUUAUUUAUCAAGUACUAAAUCCAUAGUUAUCAGGCGCUAACUCCAUAGUCACCAAGGUUCACUUAACAAGCGCUAACUCCAUAGUCGCCAAGGUUUACUUAACAAGCGCUAACUCCAUAGUCGCCAAGGUUUACUCAACAAGCGCUAACUCCAUAGUCGCCAAGGUUUACUCAACAAGCGCUAACUCCAUAGUCGCCAAGGUUCAUCAAAUAGGCACGAAGUCACAUCGUCGCCAAGGUUUAUACAAUAGGCGCUAACUCCAUAGUCACCAACUAUUCCAUCUACCUAUGUUCUACCCAACAAUUUUGUAGAUAUAAAUACUUACACAGUUUAAAUCAUUUAACACCUGUAUAAAACUCCAAAUUCCAUGCCCAUCUCAAAUAGACAAAUAACAUAUAAACACAUAGCACGUAUUUCAUAGCAAAUACUUCAUAUUUAUGUGUUAGAAGAAAGUAACUACACACUCACACAUAUAAACAACAAUAUACUUAAUACACUCAAACCAUACUUGUAUUAUUAUCGUGUUUAUGAAAGGUAGUAUACACUCACUUGAUCAGAAGAUGAUCGGACAGCACUACGACUUGCAGAAGUAGUAAUCCUCAGCAGAUCUGGAAGAUCUCCACAAAAAUCGAACUUCUCGCGGGCAGAGCUUCGGCUCGGGAACCGCACUUCUCGGGAUCUUCGGGAUCUCGGGACUUGCCUCGGGGCUCGAGAAUAAUACCGGGGCUUCGGGAUAUAUCUGGCACGCAAAACGAUGCAAAACGGGAGCCUCGGAGUACGCGGGGCGUACUGCAGUACGCAGCGCAUACUGCUUCCGAAAUCGUCACUGCAUGCGUCAUCCGAAAUGUCGACACUCUUCGGAGUACGCGGGGCGUACGUCGGAUCGGACCGGUGACUCGUCUUCGGAUAAUGCCGGAUUAAAAGAUUAAUUUUAAUUACAAAAUAUUUAAUAAACUUCGGAAAUUCAUAACUUUCGCAUACGAACUCCGUUUUCGACGUUCUUUAUAUCCACGCGAAGGUGAGACUACGCUCUACAACUUUCGUUUAGACUCCGUCGGCUAAUUUUGACUUUAUUUUUAUUAUUUAUUUUUAAUAGGCCGCGACAGAAAAACUUCGUUAUAAAUUCAUAACUUCUUCGUUUGACGUCCGUUCUCGCCUAACUUUUUAUCGCUUCGAUACCAACAAUGAGAUCUUCGAUUCUCAUUUAGAUUGCUUUGGCUAAAAACCCCUCGAUCUCAAAUCGAGUAAAACAGGCUGCUCACCGCUAAGCCGAAACUUCGAUAAAUCAUAACUUCCUCAUACGAAGUCAGAUUUGGGCGUUCUAAAUAUAUUCGGAAACCUCGUUUCAACUACUACAACAUUAUUCAAAGAUAUUAAGUUUAUUUUACACUUAAAUUUUGACGCUUAUUUUUUUAUUCUUAAUUAAUCAAACCACAUAAUUAAGCAAUUAAGCACCAAAACACAUAAUACUCAAAUAAUACAAUCUUAUUAUUUCAAAAUGGGUUACAAAGGUUAACCUAGACUAUUACUUUGCUAAAAAUGGCAAGCCCGGAAACACAGGCGUUACAAUUUAUUUUCAAAACAAACCAAAGAUAAUAAUUGUUUACAAAAGUAGCGUUACAAAAGUACUAAUCCAUAAUCAAAGUAUCCCAAGAAUCCAAUAACAAAAAAUCUAAAGGAAUGUGCAUGAUCACGCCUUUUGUUUCCCUGAUCGUCUUAAGUACCUGAAAAAACAACUAAAACUAUAAGACGAAACUUAUUGAGUUCCCCCAAUGUACCACCACACAACAUAACAAACAAUAGCAUGCAUACAUGACCUUCAGCCUGACUAAACCACCACACAGGGCCUACAGACUAUCUGGACCGCUCAGAGCCUUCAGCAGGACUGGACCACUGCAUCGAAACUACAGCCUAUCUGGACUGCUCUCCAUCCUUCGGCCUGACUGGACCGCCUUGUAGGCCUUCAGCCUAUUCGGACUGCCUUAGGUAUCUUGUCCUUUAGCACAAGCAUGAUCGCCUCAAUCUAACUGACCAUAACUCAUCAACAUAUAUAAUAACAACCAAUAUCCAUCAAAUACAGGUAGUCCUACAGAUCUACCAGUUUAACAUAUAUCCAACAAUACAGGUAAUCAUACAGUUCUACCAGUCUAACGCAUAUCAGUAAUAAUCAGGUAAUCAUACAAAUCUAACACAUACUCAGCAUAAAAUCUAUCAAUAUACUAGGAUAUCAAAUCCAGUGGGCCGGCCUUGGUACCUUAGCCCCACAAGUAAAGUGAGGAAAACUCACAUCUUAGUCUUAAAUGACCGUUAAACAAGUCACGACUCUGAAUAUCAUCUCUAUCAGUCACCUAUCAAACAAAUACUGACCAAUUCUCAAUUAUAACUCAAAAUACCAAAAAUAACCAUAUGUCAAUCUUGGGUCAAAGUUAAAGUGAACUACAACAGGUGGCCAUGCCGUGGCCAUCCUUGGACAUGCUGUGGCCACCAAAUGACAAGAUAGACGAGACUCAGCCCAGCCGCCAUGUCGUGGAGACCCUUGUGUAACAUCCAAUUAUCACAAGCAAAAAAUUUCAUUUUAUUUAAGUAAAUCUUCCCAAUUAUAACUUUUUUAUGGAAAAAAUUGUUUAUUCCAAUUACUUUUAUAAAUAUCAAAGUAAUAUUAAAGCGCGAAAAUCUUCAUUGUUGCUGAUGAAUGUGUACAAUCACGCCUUCGCCUUCCCAUGAUGACUGAUGAUACCUGAAGCAAUAAGCAACUGGGUAAGCACAAAUCUUAGUGAGUUCCCCCCCCCCCCCAAAAAAAAUACCCCAUACGAUAAACAUACACGCAUCCAUCGGGUCCACUUAGCCAUAGGGCUGGAAUACCCAGGAUUUGUUGGCCUACCGCCUUAACCCAACUGCUCUUCCCAAGCCUCCGUGCCUCCGACUUACAUCCAGCUCGCAGCGGGUAUCUUGGCCAACAUCACAAAGCAGGACCGCCUCAACCCACCACUAUCAGAUGUCGACAUGUAAAAAACCAAGGAUCAAGUAGGCACAUAAUACAGGAAAACACCAAUCAUACAGCUCACUACUGCCUACUACUCCUCUCACAACAUACAGUCCUGCUACCAGCUAACCUCCAUGAAAUGUGUAACCAUAAGUAACUAGAGGAUGAACAUAUGAUCCUACUCUAGAGCGACAACCAAACAAGGAACAUGCAAGAAAGCCUAGAUCAAGAUUUCUCAAGCUAUCCUACAUGACCACAGACAGUCCCUAGGGCACUCCACCAAAUGAUAACCAACAAGUACAAAUUGAUGGGUUUGGUCAUAAGACAUCCUAUGUGCUCAUACAAACCCUAAUGCUUGGAUCUAGAUUUCUCUAUUGUACAUGCUUUGAAUCCAAGACUAUAAACCCUAAUUCUAGCAUAUGGAAAUCAAUAUUAACAUAUAAUUAGGUUUAAGAUAGUACCUUGAUUGUUAUGUAGCAAUAAAAAUCCCAAUUCCUCCUUGAAUUGACUUUGGAAGGCUUAGAGUCACAAGUGUCACUCCUCUAAUGGCUCACAAACACCAUAAGCAAGAGGUUGAAGAGGAGAGAGGAUGGAGGCUGCCUAAAACGUGUUCUAACCCUAGAAAAGAAGUUUUCCCACGUUUUUGAGCCUUAAGGGUUCUAUAUAUAGUGAGGCUAUUAGGGUUAUCUAACAAGGAAACCCUAAUUUGGUUGCUUAAGCCCUAAGCAACUCAUAGAUUCCUUUAAUCAAGCCCUUGGACGAUUUCCUUAUGGGCUUCCCAUAAGAAUUCGUCCACCUCUUGAUUUAAGACAAUCCAUGGCCCAAAUUGCAAUUAUCUUAUAAUUACAAUUCCAGUCCCUUAAGUUUCAUUAAUCUCUUUUAGUCACAAAACUAAUUACCAAUUAAUUAUUGACUAAUAUAAUUAAAAAAUAUGAUUUCUCCUUUAAUAUAUUAUUCCCAUAAUAUAUUAAUAAAUCAUAUUUAAUCCUUUAUCUCCAUAAUUCAUCCUAUCAAGUUGCUUUGGUGAAGGCAACCCAAAAGGACCAUGCACCAUCGGGUCAAGUACAUACCAAAAUAGUUAUGGACUUAGACACUAAUCCAACAGUCUCCCACUUGGAUAAGUCUAAUAACUAUUCUGCGUAUGACUUCAGAUCCUGAUCUGCAAUCGUAGCUUUCCAAAGCCGCUGUCAACUCUGAUCCUAUCAGAUACGCGUGUCUUUAGAUAAGGGAUCAUAUAUUCCUCCAUUCUAGAUAUCAUAUGAGAUAUGAUUUCAAAUCAUUCUCUUUGUACUAUAUCUCGAUUUCCGAUUUAUGACGACUGACUAAUUGAACAAAUCAAAUUAGCCCUAGCCCGGCCGAGCAUUUACGUUUGUCAUCACUAAAUCAUCGAGGGGCCCAAAGAUAUCGCUUUUAUCCUACUUUGAAUAAAAGGAACGGAUAAACUUUGAUACAAUGCUUGCUUGCACUCACUCACCGAAUCACACACAACAAUAUGUUUUAUAACACCAAGUUACUAGUGCGUUUACAUAUUAUCAAUGUGCAACCGAUUUGCAAGAUACAACUCACACAUCUCGGUUUCAAGAAUAUAAGAUGUUAUCGUCUCACCAAUCACUCGUGAUACAAUUCAUGGAGUGAUCUAAGUGAGCGUGGGUUUAAUCCAAUGCUCAAAUUCUCAUUCAUAAGCACUCAUGAACGUUGCAGCAAACAUUUGCUUAUGUCUAAUACUCUUUUAGACAAUCCACACACCAAUUCAUGACAGUCUUCAUUCAUACCUACUUCCAACAUAUGAACGACUUUGGCCCAUUCGAAUAAUUCGAUUAUUCUUAAUAAUUUCAAUUAUUCCGAAAGUCAAAACAUGCAAAUGUGAAACACAAGAAUAAUACUAAUCCCAUAUGGCCUCAAACCUUUGAGUAUAAAUAAAACUCCUUUUAUUUAUCACCAUAUCGAUUACUCAUUAUUUGUCGUUUCGGGUAAUCAACUUCUUACUUGAAUUAUUACACUUGUCCCAUGCUCCUAGCAUGCACACAAUGUUUACCUAUGGUUCUUACUUUGUGAAAUAGAUCAAAUUGAACACAUUUCCAAUCAUUCUCAUUUCACAACUCCAAAUCCUUUUUCAUAAGUGUAAGAAUAUCAAAUUCUUGCUACUUAUAGAAUAUGCUAGAUUCUAACAUUUUAUGCAAUGAUCCUUUCGUAAUGUCACUGCACCAAAGUCACAAAGACUAUUGCCAAUGAUAUUACAAAGUCCUCUAUCGGAGAUUGUUACAAGACAAUUCCUUAGAUAUGAUGUCUCUCACUCAAAGUACAUUCCUUUGAACAUCCUUUUGCAUAAAAGUUUCUAAUCUAGACAUAGAUUUUCAAUAUUCAAUUCCCAAUAUGGACACGUUUCCAUAUUUUCCAUAUGACAACUCAUUCUUAAUAGAAUCUUAUCUAUUCAUAAUAAUGUCGAUAUGGUCCAUCCAAUAUGGAAACAUUUCCAUAUUUUCCAAUACUAUACUUCCAACUACUCACAAGCGACCAAUCCUCGUCGAACUUUGGAUUGUCCUUUGAUAGUUGUUUAAUUAUUUUAGUCAAAACCGAUUCUAGUCCUUUUUCCCUCUAAAUGCGCUAGACAUUUGGAAAAUUUUAGAAUGGUCAAACAUUAAAGCAUUUGCAAUCGAUCCUAUACCCGAAGCGUAUGGGACACGACGCAUAAUGUUUUAUUUGCUAUGUUCUCAAAAUUCGAAUUGUGAAGAGGGAUGCCGUAAUCAUAAUCGAAAUUUUAAGAACACACUUUGUACCUUUGACUAAAUUUUAUUAACAUUUCUCAACCUAAACCUUUAGAUUUGAAAUGAAGCAUAAUAUUCUCUCCCUUAAUUAUAGCAAAACAACUUUUCAACUAUUGCGACUUUGCAAAGUAUGACUCUUGUUUUCUAUAAUUAAUAUUGCUAACCUUGCAAUACUUUCCUUAAUAAUCAUACAAUCAUAACUUUUAUGCUCCCACUAUCAUGAUGAUUAUUAUAAAACAUAACACUUAUGCUCCCACUAGCUUCGACAUGUAUUCAUAAACAUCUUAACUUUCAGAAAAACAAUGCUUAUUGAAUUUCUUAAGUUCAUGUUUCUAAUACUUAGUGCUUUGAUAAUCUUUUAUCAAGGCUUCUUGAACUUAUACACCUUUGCCUUCGAUAGUUCAUAUGUGUGUCUAAACAAUUAAGACUAAUUGCCAAACCUCACAAUUCAAAUUAUGGAAAGGGAUGCCGUAACCAUAAUUGAAUUCGAGAAUGCAAUUUUACAAUCACUAUCUUCUUAAAAUCUGUCUUAGUGAAAGCAUUUCCUCACAAUCAUUUUCAUGAAGGAGGAAAUCUUAUGACACUUAGAUUUAAACAGUGUAUUUGUUCCUAUCCAUGUGAAUUUGUCAAAACCAAAGUUUACGACAAAUUCAAACUCAUAUGGACCGAACUUUCUUAAUCUUGAUUUCUUGCCUUAUGGUAGCACAGCUGCCCACCAUAUCUUCCAAGUAGUUAAGCAGCUCACCCUUUCCUAUCAAUGUACCUUUCAUUGAUUAAGGU